GGCCAGGGUAGUGUAAUGGUUAGAGUGUUGGACUAGGACCUGGGAAAGACCAGGGUUCGAAUCCCUGCUCAGCCA